UGACGGGUACCUGGUCUGAGAGGACGACCAGGCAGACUGGGGCUGAGACACUGCCCAGACUCCUACGGGACGCAGCAGCAACGAAUUUUCCGCAAUGGACGCAAGUCUGACGGAGCAACGCCGCGUGCCGGAUGACGGCCUUCGCGUUGUACACGGCUUUUGGGUGGGACCAUCAUGACGGUACCACCCGAAUAAGCGCCGGCUAACUCCGUGCCAGCACCCCGCGGUAAGACGGACGGGGCCAAGCGUUGUCCGGACUCACUGGGCGUAAAGGGUGCGCACGCCGUGCCGUGCGUCUGCGCUGAAAGCGCCCGGCUUAACCGGGCGAGGUGCGGGCGAUACGACGGCACUUGAGGCACGUAGAGGUUGCGCGGAAUUCCGGGUGUAGUGCUGAAAUGCCGUAAAGAUCCGGCACGAACCUCCGUGCGCGUAAGCGGCCAACUGCGGCCUGUCCUGACGCUGAGGCACGUAAGCGUGGGGAGCGAACCGGAUUAGAUACCCGGGUAGUCCACGCCGUAAACGCUGUCGGCUCGGUGUGUGGUCUCAUUACGGGACUGCGUGCCCCAGCUCACGCGGUAAGCCGACCGCCUGGGGACUACGGCCGCAAGGCUAAAACUCAAAGGAAUUGACGGGGGCCCGCACAAGCAGCGGAGCGUGUGGUUUAAUUCGACGCAACGCGAAGAACCUUACCCAGAUUUGACAUGCGACUGCAAGCGCACGGAAACGUGUGACCUGCGAGGGUGUCGCACAGGUGCUGCAUGGCUGUCGUCAGCUCGUGUCGUGAGAUGUUGGGUUAAGUCCCGCAACGAGCGCAACCCCCGCCGUCAGUUAUACGUGUCUGGCGGGACUGCCGGCUGUUUGGUCGGAGGAAGGCGGGGAUGACGUCAAGUCCGCAUGGCCCGUACGUCUGGGGCGACACACACGCUACAAUGGCCGGCACAGCACGCCGCAAACCCGCAAGGGGGAGCUAAUCGCCAACGCCGGUCCCAGUGCAGAUCGGGGGCUGCAACUCGCCCCCGUGAAGGCGGAGUUGCUAGUAACCCGCGUAUCAGCCAUGGCGCGGUGAAUACGUACCCGGGCCUUGUACACACCGCCCGUCACGUCAUGGGAGUUGG
rnacentral:rRNA from 1 species